GCAUCCCUCGCUGGCGGCCUCGCCCUCUCUCCCUGGGAGGUGUUGGUCACUCCAAUCACGGCUCCGGCGCGAGGCUCCGCCCACAUUCCCACCUCCCGUCAGUCCCCGACGGCUCCGCGGGCGCGCGGGCUGGCGCGGUUCCCUGCCGGCUACUUAGGGGCUGGGGUUAGGAGAAGGCGGCCGCCGGGCCCCUCAGGCCUUCCGCCCUCCGGGUUCUCCGCGGGCUGGGCGGUUCCGGAGGCCGGCACCCCGCUCCUUCCCGAGCCCAGCACGGUGCGCGGGAUGAGCGGGGAGGCUCUGGCUCCGAGCGCUGCCCAGCUUGCGGCCACCUCUGCCGCGGGAUCCCUGGUCGAGGCUGCCGUCCGGACGCGUAGCUCUUCCCCCGGGUCGCAAACCUCCGGGGCCACGCCCUCCGGCCUAGGUUCCUCGGCCCCGGAGGUUGGGACAGUCCUGCAGUGUGGGUUCCUGGAAUUCGAAUGUCUCCAGAGGAACCCACAGGGAUUGAGAUACAGUCUGGGAGUUGGGGCACAUGGAGUCCGAAGCCUUACCGACUGCUUGUGCUAUUGGUUUCAGAGAGGAAAAGCAGCUCAGCUCCGUGGCCAAAGCCGUCACGGCUCUCCUGGCUCUUCUGACUGAGCCAGGGCCUUUUGCAAAGGGAGGCAGCUUCACACUUGAGUGCUCUCAGAGGAGUCAAAGCUGUGGGCUGCCCCUGUCACGGAUACCUUCAUCCUUCCAAGGACACUUGGAAAUAAGCCUAGGCUGCCUUCAAGGCCUUGAAUGAUUCUGUGUUGCUAAGACUAUUACUAAAGAUACGGCCAGGCCAGCCAGUACUGAUCCCAGUCCUCUGACUUUAAGCUGCACCUGACUGCUGGACUCUCAGAUGCUGUCUUCCUAGCUGGACAACUAUGUGCAGUUUUUUUUUUUAAUUAAAAUAUUACAUAAUAUAGUAUUAUAUAUCAUUUAUAAUUUUGACACUAUAUUAUAUAAUAAAUGACUACAGAAAAUAAAACUCAGUAAGAUCAUCAUUACCCUGAGGACAGUUUUGAUAUUUUGAUACAUUUCCUUCUAAUAUUUUUAAAUUCACAUAUAUACUUCAGAAGUUGAACCACACUACAUACAAUCUUGUAUCAUUUUUUCCCCAUUUAAUAUUAAAUGUAAACAUUAUGACAUCAUACAUUCUUUGAAAAAUAAUUUUAGAGGCAGCACAACAUCUCAUCAUCUGGAUGUAACCAUCUUUAUUUAACUAGCUCCAAAUCUUUACCGCAUCCAGAGAGCAGAAGAGAUAAAGUAAAGGUUCAUUUCUGCAGAGCACCACCAGGGGUCAGCCCAAAGCCAAAGAGAUACUACAAGCAUGCCCUGAUGUAGAAAAUCAGUGACGCGACAAUCCACAUUAAUAAAUUACAUUAGAUUAGCAGAGGCCUAUUCACUUGAGUCGCCAAGUUCCCUUCAAGAACGGGCUCACUUAGUACAGAUUUCUCAGAUUAGAAAUGAUUAGAUUCCUUCCAGUUAAUUUAUAUCCUACAGUUCCAAAACAGCUAUUUUAUAAACCAAUGUCUAUAAAGACAAGGUGUGGUAUUAGAUUUGUUCUCACCUGCUUAGUAUGAAUGCAUAGAAUUGGGCUAUUUUGUAAGCUUUUUUUAGGAAAAUCAAAUAACAGAUAAAAGUAUCUUAUAAAUUAUGAAGCAGCAUAUAAACUUCAAGGUCCUUGAUUCUGAUGUGUUUCUCAGAUAUUUGGAUGGAAUAUCUCCUACAAAAACUAAAGAAUCCUGGCUAGUAUGAUUAUGCAAUGAGGUAUAAGAGCAUAUAUUUUGGCAUGCAAUCAUGGAUUCCUUCAUUGGUUGCCCACCCCCGCAACCCCUGGCCCUGCUCUCCAACUGUUGAAGUCACUGUAGAAUUAGUGAUCUGUUUUUUCUAGAAGCUCAAGUUAUGUAUAGUCAAAUUGAUCUUAGUUGUUUUCCAUCUUUUUUUGCCUGAAGCUCCUUCAGGAUAAUUACUCUGAGCCCAGAACUGGCUGGAACAACUAAUAAGUAGGUGGGUAACAAGGAUCCCAAAGCCACUCCUGACCUGACAUGCUUAACAGGCUCCACCAAAGGUGGCUGGCACUCCUGGCCUCUCUAAAGCUAGAAGUGACUAUGAGGAUACUUCAAAAAGAAAAAUGGAAUUAGAAAAUGAGUUUACUGGCCGGCACCGCAGCUCACUAGGCUAAUCCUCCACCUUGCGGCGCUGGCACACCGGGUUCUAGUCCCGGUCGGGAUGCCGGAUUCUGUCCCGGUUGCCCCUCUUCCAGGCCAACUCUCUGCUGUGGCCCAGGAGUGCAGUGGAGGAUGGCCCAAGUGCUUGGGCCUUGCAUCCCAUGGGAGACCAGGAGAAGCACCUGGCUCCUGCCUUUUGGAUUAGCGUGGUGCAUCGGCCGCAGUGCGCCGGCCGUGGCGGCCAUUGGAGGGUGAACCAACGGCAAAAAGGAAGACCUUUCUCUCUGUCUCUCUCUCUGUCACUGUCCACUCUGCCUGUCAAAA